GUGUUUGCUUCAGCAGCACAUAAACUAAAAUUGGAAUGAUACAGAGAAGAUUAUCAUGGACCCUGCAAAAUAAUGACAAGCAAAUUUGUGAAGUGUUUCAUAUUUUG